rnacentral:misc_RNA from 1 species
GAUGAAGAACGUAGCAAAAUGCGAUAAGUAAUGUGAAUUGCAGAAUUCAGUGAAUCAUCGAAUCUUUGAACGCACAUUGCGCCCGCCAGUAUUCUGGCGGGCAUGCCUGUUCGAGCGUCAUUUCAACCCUCAAGCACAGCUUGGUGUUGGGACUCGCGUUAAUUCGCGUUCCCCAAAUUGAUUGGCGGUCACGUCGAGCUUCCAUAGCGUAGUAGUAAAACCCUCGUUACUGGUAAUCGUCGCGGCCACGCCGUUAAACCCCAACUUCUGAAUGUAGACCUCGGAUCAGGUAGGAAUACCCGCUGAACUUAAGCAUAUCAAUAAGCGGAGGA